NNAAAAAAAAAAAAAGAGAAAAGAAAGUCUUCAAAGAGCUGCUGUUUCCAGAAUUUAUUAUAAAUCUCAUUGCAUUUUAUUUCAGGGGGAAUUAUUCAUGCAAUGUUUAAUCCUUUCCGUUCUGCGAGUUUGAAGAAAACUACGUAGGAAAUCUGAUAAUUAUUUUGAAAAAAAAAAAAUUCUGGGUUUGGUGCAUGUUCUUAUUCAAGGUGGCGAAUCAAGGGGGUAGCGGUGAGUUUGCCAGGUUUCCGGCACCGGAUGAUACAGAAACUACAACAACCACCACUUCAGUCACAUCCACCGUCGCAGCCACUCCUCAUGUUCCGUACUACCAAAUGCAACAACAAGAACGAUCGGAUUAUCUAUUUUCCGGGCUGCAGCUGCCACCGCCGCAUCCGCCGCUAAUUUUUUCCGAGUAUGGUCAGUCCAGAGAGAGGUCAGUGAUGGUGACGGCGUUGUCGCAUGUCAUAUCAGGGCGGAGCUAACAAUUGGCCAUUUCUGCCACCCCACAACCACCUAUCGCCGUCAUGCCUCCUUCACUGACGGCGGUGUUUCCUCCAGAAUUCAUGCAAACACAGCCUUUCCAAAUCCCCGAAAACAUUUCCAGGGAUUAUUGGGAAUACUCGCAAUUACUUCAAAGCAGUGGUGAUUUUCCGAUAAAUUUGUCGGAUCAAAUGUUUUAUACUUCUGCAUCAUCUUCUGGUGGACAAUCAGUUAAUUUCCGGCCACAAGAAAAUCAAAAUAACACAAGUUUUCCUGCACCAUCAUGGACCAGUUCUAGCCAAUAUCCUCCAUCCUCUUCUUGAUAUUUAUUUUUAUUUUUCAUUGAUAUUAUCGUGUCCUUUGUACUCGAGUUUAGGUAAUUUAGGUACUUGCCUUUAGUUUGGUAUCCAUACAUUUCAUGUAUGUUAUCCAUCAAUAAAUUUCAUUUGUGCAGUUAUACUUUUAUUUCUAUUUUAUCAUGUUCGUUCGGUUGAAAAUAUUGCUAUGAAUUAUCAAUUUAUGUUGUUUACUUCUAUCUAA
rnacentral:lncRNA from 1 species